GAUUAUGGCUCAGGAUGAACGCUAGCUACAGGCUUAACACAUGCAAGUCGAGGGGUAGCAGGGUAGCAAUACCGCUGACGACCGGCGCACGGGUGAGUAACACGUAUCCAACCUUCCCAUAACUCAGGGAUAGCCUUUCGAAAGAAAGAUUAAUACCUGAUAGUACUUUUUCAAGGCAUCUUGAGAAAGUUAAAGAUUUAUUGGUUAUGGAUGGGGAUGCGUUCCAUUAGAUAGUUGGUGAGGUAACGGCUCACCAAGUCUUCGAUGGAUAGGGGUUCUGAGAGGAAGGUCCCCCACAUUGGUACUGAGACACGGACCAAACUCCUACGGGAGGCAGCAGUGAGGAAUAUUGGUCAAUGGGCGAGAGCCUGAACCAGCCAAGUAGCGCGAAGGAAUGAAGGUCCUAUGGAUUGUAAACUUCUUUUAUAGUAGAAUAAAGUGAUCCACGUGUGGAUUUUUGUAUGUAUACUAUGAAUAAGGAUCGGCUAACUCCGUGCCAGCCGCCGC
rnacentral:rRNA from 1 species